AUCUCCAUAUCCACAUCUCCACAUGUGCACAUUUGGUGGAUGGAAACGUGCUGGCGCCAAGAACAUUGUUUGUUUGUUUGUUUUGUUUGUUUGUUUGUUUGUUUGUUUCUCUCAGCCUUUUUAUACCACCCAAGACAGCACUCUCUGUGUGUAAGAAGAUUACCUGGUAGCCACAGGUCACAUAUUCUCUAAAAGCCAUCACCCCAGAAACAUAUUCUUCCAAAACCAGAUUAAAAUCAUCCCACAAAAGGAAACUACACCAGGAGCCUUGAUGACAUAAUUUUGUUUUGACAUUCACGCCUAAGAAACUUUUCCCAUCCUUCUUUCUCUCCACUAGAUGGACUUAACUCUUGUCUUAACUGAUGAACAAAGUUUAAGGCAAUGGAGCCUAGGUUAGCAAGUUGUUUUUUCUGUGCUUGACUGGUGACACUUUGUAUUUAGCGGGAGACCGAUCAUCAUCUGUUGUGCACCUUUCGUUUCGUUUCGUUUCGUUUCGAUUCGUUCCGUUUUGUUUUGUUUAGUUUUGUUUCGUUUUGAAGUCUUGUUGUUCAGGUAAUCUGGGCAAUCGCCUACCCUCUAUUCUGACACUCGUAAUAGAGCGAUUUGCUGUUUAUUCCUAGCCGUGUGUCUCUUCGAGGUGCACACCGAGCACUUAUGGCCACAGGCUUAGAUCACAAGAUCCAGGAAGUCAGGCCCAACGUUGAAUGGAUGCUCUCUGUGAGCAUGAACUUGUCCCAGGCCUAAUUUUCUUGCUCCUACGAGUACAUGCUUGGAAGGCACGGAAGCUCAUGUGCUCCUUCUCUCAACGA
rnacentral:lncRNA from 1 species